UCAGUAACACGUGGACAACGUGCCCUAAAGUGGGAGAUAAUCAGGGGAAACUCUGGAUAAUAUCCCAUAGGCCAUGAGAUCUGGAAUGACUUAUGGCUCAAAGUUCCGGCGCUUUAGGAUCGGUCUGCGGCCUAUCAGGUAGUAGUGGGUGUAGUGUACCCCCUAGCCUAUUACGGGUAUGGGCCUUGAGAGAGGGAGCCCAGAGUUGGAUUCUGAGACACGAAUCCAGGCCCUACGGGGCGCAGCAGUCGCGAAAACUUCACAACGGGCGAAAGCCCGAUGAGGGAAUUCCUAGUGCUAGCACAUUUGUGUUAGCUUUUCUUCAGCGUAGAUAACUGGAGGAAWAAGGGCUGGGUAAGACGGGUGCCAGCCGCCGCGGUAAUACCCGCAGCCCGAGUGGUGGUCGAUUUUAUUGAGUCUAAAACGUUCGUAGCCGGUCUGAUAGAUCCUUGGGUAAAUCGGGCUGCUUAACAGUCCGAAGUCCGAGGAGACCGUCAGGCUUGGGAUCGGGAGAGGUAAGAGGUACUUCAGGGGUAGGGGUAAAAUCCUGUAGUCCUUGGAGGACCACCGGUGGCGAAGGCGUCUUACUAGAACGAAUCCGACGGUGAGGGACGAAGCCCUAGGUCGCAAACGGGAUUAGAUACCCCGGUAGUCUAGGGUGUAAACGCUGCAGACUUGGCGUUGAGGUCCUACGGGGACAUUCAGUGCCGGAGAGAAGUUGUUAAGUCUGCUACUUGGGGAGUA
rnacentral:rRNA from 1 species